rnacentral:rRNA from 1 species
GUGGGGAAUAUUGGACAAUGGGCGAAAGCCUGAUCCAGCCAUGCCGCGUGUGUGAAGAAGGUCUUCGGAUUGUAAAGCACUUUAAGUUGGGAGGAAGGGCAGUAAGUUAAUACCUUGCUGUUUUGACGUUACCGACAGAAUAAGCACCGGCUAACUUCGUGCCAGCAGCCGCGGUAAUACGAAGGGUGCAAGCGUUAAUCGGAUUUACUGGGCGUAAAGCGCGCGUAGGUGGUUUUGUAAGUUGGAGGUGAAAUCCCCGGGCUCAACCUGGGAACUGCCUCCAAAACUGCAUGACUAGAGUACGGUAGAGGGUAGUGGAAUUUCCUGUGUAGCGGUGAAAUGCGUAGAUAUAGGAAGGAACACCAGUGGCGAAGGCGACUACCUGGACUGAUACUGACACUGAGGUGCGAAAGCGUGGGGAGCAAACAGGAUUAGAUACCCGAGUAGUCC